rnacentral:tRNA from 1 species
GCCUUCGUGGUGCAGUGGUCAGCACGCUCGAUGCGUAUUCCAGAGGUCUGCGGUUCAAAUCCCGGCAAGGGCA